rnacentral:rRNA from 1 species
CCUACGGGUGGCUGCAGUGAGGAAUAUUGGUCAAUGGACGGAAGUCUGAACCAGCCAUGCCGCGUGCAGGAAGACGGCUCUAUGAGUUGUAAACUUCUUUUAUAAGCGAGUAAUGUGAUGGUAGCUUAUGAAUAAGUAUCUACUAACUACGUGCCAACAGCCGCGGUCAUACGUAGGAUCCGCGCAUUAUCCGGAGUUACUGUGUGUAAAGAGUUGCGUUGGUGGGAUAAUAAGUAGCGAGUGAAAUCUGGUGGGUCAACCAUUAAGAGUAUUAGUUAAACUGUUAAGCUCGAGACCGUUAGGGGUAAGCGGAAUUUGUAGUGUAGGAGUGAAAUGCGUAGAUAUUAGAAGGAACACCAAUAGCGUAGGCAGGUUACUAGGACGGCUCUGACACUAAGGCACGAAAGCGUAGGGAGCAAACGGGAUUAGAUACCCCAGUAGUC